UACGUAGGGCGCAAGCGUUGUCCGGAAUUAUUGGGCGUAAAGCGCGCGCAGGCGGUUAUUUAAGUUUGGUGUUUAAGCCCGGGGCUCAACCCCGGAUCGCACUGAAAACUGGAUGACUUGAGUGCGGGAGAGGAAAGUGAAAUUCCACGUGUAGCGGUGAAAUGCGUAGAGAUGUGGAGGAACACCAGUGGCGAAGGCGACUUUCUGGGCUGUAACUGACGCUGAGGCGCGAAAGCGUGGGGAGCAAACAGG
rnacentral:rRNA from 1 species